rnacentral:rRNA from 1 species
UACGAAGGGGGCUAGCGUUGCUCGGAAUCACUGGGCGUAAAAGGUGCGUAGGCGGGUCUUUAAGUCAGGGGUGAAAUCCUGGAGCUCAACUCCAGAACUGCCUUUGAUACUGAAGAUCUUGAGUCCGGGAGAGGUGAGUGGAACUGCGAGUGUAGAGGUGAAAUUCGUAGAUAUUCGCAAGAACACCAGUGGCGAAGGCGGCUCACUGGCCCGGUACUGACGCUGAGGCACGAAAGCGUGGGGAGCAAACAGG